AACGCACCUUGCGCCCUUUGGUAUUCCGAAGGGCAUGCCCGUUCGAGUGUCUUGAAAUCAUCACACCUUUUAGUUUGUCUGAACGGUGCGGAGUUGGGGGAUUGCUGCGGCCCUUUGCCGGCUCCCCUUGAAUGAAUCGGUCGCGUUUUGAAGGGCGCCCUGACGUUGUAAUUUUCCCUCGUCGCGGGCUCCUCAUUCCGACCUCGGCUCUUGCCUCUGGAGUGGCGGCCAACUUUUGACAUCUGACCUCGAAUCGGGUAGGACUACCCGCUGAACUUAAGC
rnacentral:misc_RNA from 1 species